rnacentral:rRNA from 1 species
UACGUAGGUGGCAAGCGUUGUCCGGAUUUAUUGGGUUUAAAGGGUGCGUAGGCGGCUCUGUAAGUCAGUGCUGAAAUAUCCCAGCUUAACUGGGAGGGUGGCAUUGAUACUGCGGGGCUAGAGUACAGAUGAGGUAGGCGGAAUUGACGGUGUAGCGGUGAAAUGCUUAGAUAUCGUCAAGAACACCUAUAGCGAAGGCAGCUUACUAGGCUGUAACUGACGCUGAGGCACGAAAGUGUGGGGAUCAAACAGG